AAAAUAUGUUAAGUUUGGCCAUUAAAUUUAAUGGCACGAGAAUAAAAUUGGAAAAGUAGAUUUUUUAUGAAUUAAAAUAAAGAAAAAAUUCUUUUCACUUUUUUCUCUUUUUUAUUCUUUCUUUAUUAUAUUCUUCUUUCCUCUGUCUUCGUGUCUGGUGGAGUGUGGAGCUUAUGGCUCUUCUCUUUUUGGUCUUGGGUUUGCGAAUAUACUGGUAGCCAACCAUUUGCAUCCCUCCAAACUUCUCAACACGUCAUCUUUCUCCAAGCUUUAAUGGUUCCAUAGCAACUGCGCCAACAACUUGCGGCUGCGAUCGAUGGUGCGGCUGCGUUGUUGCUCCAAAUCAUUGUAGCUUCUUGCACGCAACGAUCUGCGCUCCGAUUGCAGCCAUGCGAUGCUUCUGUAUCAACGCAAACGCCGUCCCUGCUACUUCCCCCACCAUCGUUCACGAAGCUUUUGCCACCGCCACUUAGUCAUUUUAGGGUUUAAAAUUAACAACUAGAUUAGUUUUGUUUGGUUUGAUUAAUUUGUUUUUUAUUAGAUUUUAAGUAGGUAUUAUGUUGUAUGAAGUUGAAACAUCCAAGUGCUCCAUCUUAUUUCACGAAUUCAUUGUAAUGGUGGAGUCAAGUUUGUUCAAAAUGCAGCUAUUUUAUUUUUAAUUUAAGUAUAUAUUAUUCUAAGAAAAUGAUAAAUAUUGGAUAUAUUUAAAUAUUUUAAAUUAUCAAUUAUUUUACUAUUUUACCCCUUAACUUUAUGUUUGGGAAGAAAAAUAUACAAAAAUGGCUUUUAAUAAAAAAGAAUUAUUAAGAACAAAAAAUAAGUAAGAUUAAAAUUUAUAACAAG
rnacentral:lncRNA from 1 species